CUCAGCUCCACCUCCUACUUUUAUAUCAUAAUACCUGGAGCAGAACAUUUUCAAAGUUACCGUACAUGAGUCCGCUCGCACCAAAAUUACACCUCCAAAUAAAUUUUCGAGAUAUAAAAGUAUACAUUGCACUCAAAAGUAGAAAAUAGUGACAAUUUGAGAGCAAUGACACUCUGUGACAUGCGACAUUCUAAAAAGUUUCUGCAAAUUUAUUCCACUAUGUACUCUGACUCUGUCCAAAAUGAACUAUGCAAUCUAAUUCGAAGUCACAUUCCCUGCAACUAUAACAUGAUCAUAGAGCGUCAAUAUAUUGACAUCAACCCUUAAAUAGUUGGAAAAUAGAUUGAAUAUUAAGGAGAAUGAGCUUCCAAAGUGUAUAAAACGAAGCAGUACUUGAGUCCUGGCUAGAAACUUGCUCUACC